UAGGGAAUAUUGGGCAAUGGACGCAAGUCUGACCCAGCCAUGCCGCGUGCAGGAUGAAGGCCUUCUGGGUUGUAAACUGCUUUUAUCUAGGAAGAAAAAACCCUUGCGAGGGGAACUGACGGUACUAGAUGAAUAAGCACCGGCUAACUCCGUGCCAGCAGCCGCGGUAAUACGGAGGGUGCAAGCGUUGUCCGGAUUUAUUGGGUUUAAAGGGUGCGUAGGCGGCCUUAUAAGUCAGUGGUGAAAGCCCAUCGCUCAACGAUGGAACUGCCAUUGAUACUGUAAGGCUUGAGUACAGACGAGGUAGGCGGAAUUGAUGGUGUAGCGGUGAAAUGCAUAGAUACCAUCAAGAACACCGAUUGCGUAGGCAGCUUACUAGGCUGUAACUGACGCUGAGGCACGAAAGCGUGGGGAGCGAACA
rnacentral:rRNA from 1 species